UACGUAGGGUGCAAGCGUUAAUCGGAAUUACUGGGCGUAAAGCGUGCGCAGGCGGUGAUGUAAGACAGGUGUGAAAUCCCCGGGCGUUAACCUGGGAACUGCAUUUGUGACUGCAUCGCUGGAGUGCGGCAGAGGGGAUGGAAUUCCGCGUGUAGCAGUGAAAUGCGUAGAUAUGCGGAGGAACACCGAUGGCGAAGGCAAUCCCCUGGGCCUGCACUGACGCUCAUGCACGAAAGCGUGGGGAGC
rnacentral:rRNA from 1 species